rnacentral:rRNA from 1 species
UACAGGAGGUGGCAAGCGUUUGUUCGGAAUUACUGGGCGUAAAGGGCGCGUAGGCGGCCUUCUAAGUCAGACGUGAAAUCCCCAGGCUUAACUUGGGAACUGCGUCUGAUACUGGGAGGCUUGAGUGCGGGAGAGGGAUGUGGAAUUCCAGGUGUAGCGGUGAAAUGCGUAGAUAUCUGGAGGAACACCGGUGGCGAAGGCGGCAUCCUGGACCGACAUUGACGCUGAACGGCGAAAGCUAGGGGAGCAAACGGG